rnacentral:rRNA from 1 species
CCGCAACGAGCGCAACCCUCGCCAUUAGUUGCCAUCAUUUAGUUGGGAACUCUAAUGGGACUGCCGGUGCUAAGCCGGAGGAAGGUGGGGAUGACGUCAAGUCCUCAUGGCCCUUACAGGGUGGGCUACACACGUGCUACAAUGGCGACUACAGAGGGUUAAUCCUUAAAAGUCGUCUCAGUUCGGAUUGUCCUCUGCAACUCGAGGGCAUGAAGUUGGAAUCGCUAGUAAUCGCGGAUCA